GCAAGUCGAACGAGAAAGCUCUUUCGGGAGUGAGUAGAGUGGCGCACGGGUGAGUAACACGUAGGUGACCUGCCCUUUUGCGGGGGAUAACCCUUAGAAAUGAGAGCUAAUACCCCAUAACAUCUUCAAUUUUGAAAGUAGAAGAUUAAAGGAUGCCUCUAUACUAUGCAUUCACAAAAGGAUGGGCCUGCGCGGCAUUAGCUAGUUGGUGGGGUAAAGGCUUACCAAGGCUACGAUGUCUAACCGGUCUGAGAGGAUGAUC
rnacentral:rRNA from 1 species